rnacentral:rRNA from 1 species
CCUACGGGAGGCAGCAGUGGGGAAUCUUACGCAAUGGGCAAAAGCCUGACGGAGCAACGCCGCGUGAGAGAAUGAAGGCCUGCGGGUUGUAAAGAUCUGUUGACAGGGACGAAUAAGCAAUGCGAAUAGUUUUGUGUAUGACGGUACCUGUUUAGAAAGCUCCGGCUAACUACGUGCCAGCAGCCGCGGUAAUACGUAGGGAGCAAGCGUUGUCCGGAAUUACCGGGCGUAAAGGGCGCGUAGGUGGGCGCUUAAGUCAGGUGUGAAAACUUCGGGCUCAACCUGGAGACUGCACUUGAAACUGGGUGUCUGGAGGGCAGGAGAGGAAAGUGGAAUUCCUAGUGUAGCGGUGAAAUGCGUAGAUAUUAGGAGGAACACCAGUGGCGAAGGCGACUUUCUGGACUGUACCUGACGCUGAGGCGCGAAAGCGUGGGUAGCGAACAGGAUUAGAUACCCCAGUAGUC